rnacentral:rRNA from 1 species
CCGCGGUAAUACGUAUGUCCCGAGCGUUAUCCGGAUUUAUUGGGCGUAAAGCGAGCGCAGACGGUUGAUUAAGUYUGAUGUGAAAGCCCGGAGCUCAACUCCGGAAUGGCAUUGGAAACUGGUUAACUUGAGUGCAGUAGAGGUAAGUGGAACUCCAUGUGUAGCGGUGGAAUGCGUAGAUAUAUGGAAGAACACCAGUGGCGAAGGCGGCUUACUGGACUGUAACUGACGUUGAGGCUCGAAAGUGUGGGUAGCAAACAGGAUUAGAUACCCUGGUAGUCCACACCGUAAACGAUGAACACUAGGUGUUAGGAGGUUUCCGCCUCUUAGUGCCGAAGCUAACGCAUUAAGUGUUCCGCCUGGGGAGUACGACCGCAAGGUUGAAACUCAAAGGAAUUGACGGGGACCCGCACAAGCGGUGGAGCAUGUGGUUUAAUUCGAAGCAACGCGAAGAACCUUACCAGGUCUUGACAUCCUUUGAAGCUUUUAGAGAUAGAAGUGUUCUCUUCGGAGACAAAGUGACAGGUGGUGCAUGGUCGUCGUCAGCUCGUGUCGUGAGAUGUUGGGUUAAGUCCCGCAACGAGCGCAACCCUUAUUGUUAGUUGCCAGCAUUCAGAUGGGCACUCUAGCGAGACUGCCGGUGACAAACCGGAGGAAGGCGGGGACGACGUCAGAUCAUCAUGCCCCUUAUGACCUGGGCUACACACGUGCUACAAUGGCGUAUACAACGAGUUGCCAACCCGCGAGGGUGAGCUAAUCUCUUAAAGUACGUCUCAGUUCGGAUUGUAGUCUGCAACUCGACUACAUGAAGUCGGAAUCGCUAGUAAUCGCGGAUCAGCACGCCGCGGUGAAUACGUUCCCGGGUCUUGUACACACCGCCCGUCACACCAUGGGAGUUUGUAAUGCCCAAAGCUCGGUUGCCUAACCU